GUCGUAACAAGGUUUCCGUAGGUGAACCUGCGGAAGGAUCAUUACCGAGUGAGGGCCCUCUGGGUCCAACCUCCCACCCGUGUUUAUUUUACCUUGUUGCUUCGGCGGGCCCGCCUUAACUGGCCGCCGGGGGGCUCACGCCCCCGGGCCCGCGCCCGCCGAAGACACCCUCGAACUCUGUCUGAAGAUUGAAGUCUGAGUGAAAAUAUAAAUUAUUUAAAACUUUCAACAACGGAUCUCUUGGUUCCGGCAUCGAUGAAGAACGCAGCGAAAUGCGAUACGUAAUGUGAAUUGCAAAUUCAGUGAAUCAUCGAGUCUUUGAACGCACAUUGCGCCCCCUGGUAUUCCGGGGGGCAUGCCUGUCCGAGCGUCAUUGCUGCCCUCAAGCCCGGCUUGUGUGUUGGGCCCCGUCCUCCGAUCUCCGGGGGACGGGCCCGAAAGGCAGCGGCGGCACCGCGUCCGGUCCUCGAGCGUAUGGGGCUUUGUCACCCGCUCUGUAGGCCCGGCCGGCGCUUGCCGAUCAACCCAAAUUUUUAUCCAGGUUGACCUCGGAUCAGGUAGGGAUACCCGCUGAACUUAAGCAUAUCAAUAUCAAUAAGCGGAGGAAAAG
rnacentral:rRNA from 1 species